rnacentral:rRNA from 1 species
AUUGAACGCUGGCGGCAUGCCUUACACAUGCAAGUCGAACGGCAGCACGGGAGCAAUCCUGGUGGCGAGUGGCGAACGGGUGAGUAAUAUAUCGGAACGUGCCCAGUCGUGGGGGAUAACGUAGCGAAAGCUACGCUAAUACCGCAUACGAUCUAUGGAUGAAAGCGGGGGAUCGCAAGACCUCGCGCGAUUGGAGCGGCUGAUAUCAGAUUAGGUAGUUGGUGAGGUAAAGGCUCACCAAGCCGACGAUCUGUAGCUGGUCUGAGAGGACGACCAGCCACACUGGGACUGAGACACGGCCCAGACUCCUACGGGAGGCAGCAGUGGGGAAUUUUGGACAAUGGGCGCAAGCCUGAUCCAGCAAUGCCGCGUGCAGGAUGAAGGCCUUCGGGUUGUAAACUGCUUUUGUACGGAACGAAACGGUGAGCUCUAAUACAGUUUGCUAAUGACGGUACCGUAAGAAUAAGCACCGGCUAACUACGUG